GCACUCACCUUUGGCCAGUGCUUGAUGACAGGACUGAGAGAAGCAAGACAUUCCUGAAGUUUGGCUCUCCAAAGCUUCCUGAGGCUGGACACAUCUUGGGCAUCAUCUGCAUCCACCUCCAGACCAAAUAAACAGCAGGGAUGCAGCAGCAGGAGUGACCCUGGGAUGCUCCUGGCACUGCCACAGUGGUGACAUGUGGCACUGGUGGCUCAGAAGGCCUUUGCUGUGACUCCUUCCAAGAGGCUGAAGGUAAGGAAGCUCUCUGGCAUUCUCUCCUCAGAGCUAAACUGGUCAUAGAAUGUCCAGUAGAAACUGGGAUAAAAACUCAGCAGAAAAGGGAUAUGAAGAUUGGGGUUGGGAGAAAGGGGAAGGGGAAAAGAGAGCCAGCCAAAGGGAAAUACAGAAAUGGGAAAAGUUUCCAAAGAGGGCAGUAUCCUGCACUUUCUAAUUAAUAUGGGAAAAGAAUGGGAAGCUUCUUAAUUAGCCCAGCCCCAGAAUCUGCCUUGUCCUUCAUGGAUAGCCUCUGGGCUUGAGUCCCAACCUGAGGCAGCACAUCCCAGGUCCAUGCACAGCCCAGAGGAGCUGCAGGUCUGCUCUGCAUCCUUGCUGGCAGCUGGUCUCAGGAAUGGUGGGAGCUCUCUUCUCACUCUUUCCCAGUUUGUCAACAGCUCAGUGUGCAGAGAAAAGGAGCAUUUCUCACUAAUGACCCAGGCUGAGUGAUGGGGGGAGUGGGAGUCACUGCUGAGGAUGAGCUGGCCAUGUAUUACAAGCUUUGUCUCCUCUUGCUUCCAGUGACUCACUCAGAUCCUCCUCUGAGAAGGAAUCACUUCGCAGCAUGCAGCAUUUGGGAGGAAAGCCACAGAAACAGCUGCAAAACAAAGGCCUCAACAUCAGACCUGCUCUCAGGACCCUCAGCCACCAACAGCCAGAUCCACCACCUGGAGGAAAGACUGGCACAGCAAUCCCUGCUGCUGUUGCUGAGAUUCCUUCUCUGUGUGCAGGAGCUCUCCCAGGGGAGAAGAAAGUGCUGCAGGCAGACAGAGGGCAAACCACGCACCAAAGAGCCUCCCAUGCAGAGCAAUGCAAACAUUCAAGGUGCUGAGAGCCAGAAUCAAACUGGGAAGCUGCUUCCAGCAGGACAAAGAAAAGCCUGAGCUGGUCCAGGUACUCCAAGUGCUGAGAAUGGAAAGAGAGGCCAGAACAGAAGAACCAAGUCCAGGCUUUGGGGACAGCAGGAAUGCUGACUGUCUGUGAAGAGGAUUCUGCACACCUCUGCAGUCUGGGGCCGCUGGGACUCACCUAAAGAAAUCUUCACUAGAAAAUGAUCCUCACUGAAAAAAAAAACCAAAAAACUAACUUUCCUGAUUAACUUUGCCAGGGGGCUGAUCCUGCCUUGGCUACGAACCCUCCAUGCUGGCCAUGCUGUAACUCACCUCUCCUGAGUCCUUUCAUGCGGGUAUCAGUUCCAAACCUCAAAGAGCUCCUGGAGUUUGGAGAAGCAUCCCUCGGUCCAGAUGCUUGUCUGAACUGUUGGAGCCUGCACAUCUGGGCCAGCUGUCUUGCCAGCAAGGAGCCUUGUGAGACAGCAGGAGCUCUCUGGGUCUGCAUGGGCCAGAGUUACUGCAAGAACCGGGGUUCUUGUGCUGGCUUUGGAGUGACUGUUUCCAUCCAGACCCAGGGAGCCCAAAAAGAGCUCGAGUUGAGCUGGACAAGACAGUUUUGGUUCAUCUCUCAGCCGAAGAGGUCCAGUUGGUUCCUCUCUCUUCCAGAGCCAACUGUCCUGUGUGUGGGUGUGGGUAUGUGGGGGGUGUGUGUGUGUGUAUUUUGAGCAAAAAAAUCCACAUUACUUAAAUUCUGUGGUGUUUUGUUGCAUUUGAAUCAAGCCAGAGGGACCUAAGGCACAUUCCAACAAGGCUCAGCAAAAAUGUCCAGGACUGGAAAAUUCCAUAAAACCAUGUAAAGGCAGAUUCCCAGGCAUCAUCUUAAGGUCUAAAUUAUAUUUGAUUUUGAGGUGCUUAAUUUCCACAGUCUCUUCCAAGGGACUAGAUUGCCUCAAUAGGCAUUUUAUUUUUCCUGCUUUUUUAAGGGAAUUAGCCUGUCUGUGCUACUUGGUCAUUUGGUCCUGAGUUAUUUUACAUUUUCAGCUGGCUUUUUGGAGUGUGCAGAACUGAAUUUCCUGGACUGAUUUGAUUUCAAUUGUUGCUCCCAGCAAACUGGAGCUUACUUGUAGCACCCUGGUUUUUAUUACCAGCCUCUCCAGGAAGGACUGGUAGUUUAUUUUCCUGGGGCAGAGUCACGUGAAUGAGAAGUGUGUGGAUGUGUUGUACCUCUGGAACUUUAGCAGAUUUCAACCACUGCAUUUUUUUUUCCUCCCUAGGCGAUUUUUGCAUUUACUGAUGAAACUACUUUAGAGGUUUUAUUUUUACUAGAGAUAUUAUUAAUUCAAGCAACCUUGUGCAAAAGGCAAACGCGUCGAAUUGCUGCAGGUUGUAGGGGUUGAAGCCAAAAGGUCUUUGUAAGCCGACAUCACCUGCCCUGGAUCUGACUGGAUCGGGCAGUUUAUUCCUCAUGUGUCAUGUUGGAGUUACAAGAUCACACCAAGCCACUAGAGCCUGCCAGUAGAAUAGUGCUACACUCAAUUUGCUAUUGUAGCAAAGCCUUUUGUAGAUUUAUACAAUAAAACUUUGAAAUAUCUGCUU
rnacentral:lncRNA from 1 species